AACCUACUCCCUUCGUUCCGAAUUACUUGUCGCGGAAAUGGAUGUAUCUAGAUGUAUUUUAGUUCUAAAUACAUCCAUUUCUAUGACGAGUAAUUCGGAACGGAGGGAGUAGGUG
rnacentral:pre_miRNA from 1 species